rnacentral:siRNA from 1 species
ACUCAAUAUCGAUGUCUGGUGUCU